rnacentral:rRNA from 1 species
UGGGGAAUAUUGGACAAUGGGCGAAAGCCUGAUCCAGCGACGCCGCGUGGGUGAUGAAGGCCUUCGGGUUGUAAAGCCCUGUGGGCAGGGAAGAAAACGUUGCAGGCGAAUAGGCUGCGACCUUGACGGUACCUGCUCAGAAAGCACCGGCUAACUCUGUGCCAGCAGCCGCGGUAAGACAGAGGGUGCAAACGUUGCUCGGAAUUACUGGGCGUAAAGCGCGUGUAGGCGGAUCGGAAAGUCGGGCGUGAAAUCCCCAGGCUCAACCUGGGAACUGCACUCGAAACUUCCGGUCUUGAGUGGUGGAGAGGGAAGUGGAAUUCCUGGUGUAGAGGUGAAAUUCGUAGAUAUCAGGAGGAACACCAGUGGCGAAGGCGGCUUCCUGGACACCAACUGACGCUGAGACGCGAAAGCGUGGGGAGCAAACAG